GCCCGUAUCAGGUUGAAACACUGGUUCCCGUACGAUCAUUGAAGUUAAGCAACGUCUAGCCAGGUCAGUACCUAGAUGAGUGACCGCUUGGGAAUACCAUGUGUCGUAAG